UACGGAGGAUCCAAGCGUUAUCCGGAAUCAUUGGGUUUAAAGGGUCCGUAGGCGGUUUGGUAAGUCAGUGGUGAAAGCCCAUCGCUCAACGGGUGGAACGGCCAUUGAUACUGCAAGACUUGAAUUAUUAGGAAGUAACUAGAAUAUGUAGUGUAGCGGUGAAAUGCUUAGAGAUUACAUGGAAUACCAAUUGCGAAGGCAGGUUACUACUAAUGGAUUGACGCUGAUGGACGAAAGCGUGGGGAGCGAACAGG
rnacentral:rRNA from 1 species